CAGUCGCCGCGGGAAUACGUAGGUGGCAAGCGUUAUCCGGAAUUAUUGGGCGUAAAGCGCGCGUAGGCGGUUUUUUAAGUCUGAUGUGAAAGCCCACGGCUCAACCGUGGAGGGUCAUUGGAAACUGGAAAACUUGAGUGCAGAAGAGGAAAGUGGAAUUCCAUGUGUAGCGGUGAAAUGCGCAGAGAUAUGGAGGAACACCAGUGGCGAAGGCGACUUUCUGGUCUGUAACUGACGCUGAUGUGCGAAAGCGUGGGGAUCAAACAGGAUUAGAUACCCCGGUAGUCCCUGUCUCUUAUAC
rnacentral:rRNA from 1 species